GAUGAACGCUGGCGGCGUGCUUAACACAUGCAAGUCGAACGAGAAGUGAAGACGGAACCCUUCGGGCGGAAGGCUUUAUUUCGAGUGGCGGACGGGUGAGUAACGCGUGGGUAACCUGCCUCAUACAGGGGGAUAACAGUUGGAAACGACUGUUAAUACCGCAUAAGACCACAGCACCGCAUGGUGCGGGGGUAAAAACUCCGGUGGUAUGAGAUGGACCCGCGUUCGAUUAGCCAGUUGGCGGGGUAACGGCCCACCAAAGCGACGAUCGAUAGCCGAUCUGAGAGGAUGACCGGCAACAUUGGGACUGAGACACGGCCCAAACUCCUACGGGAGGCAGCAGGGGGGAAUAUUGCACAAUGGGGGAAACCAUGAGGCAGCGACGCCGCGUGAGUGAAGAAGUAUGUCGGUAUGUAAAGCUCUAUCAGCAGGGAAGAAAAUGACGGUACCUGAGUAAGAAGCCCCGGCUAACUACGU
rnacentral:rRNA from 1 species